AAAAUGAAUCGCGCAGGGGCGUGUCAGCGAGGCAGCGGCGGUGAAUGGCGGCGACCAACGUGCUUUGAGAUGGGAUGGGAGAAUUGGGGAUCUAGGGCUCGAACGAUGAGAAAGGGAAUUGAGAGUGAAUCAAUCGAUUGAGGGCUCAGACACAGUGAUUGGGUUUGUCGAUAAUCUCAUCGAGUUCGCAUACAAGAUAGCAUUGCUGGGUUCGGGAGUGAGUUAGGAAAUGUUGUGCAGAAAAUACCUUUGUCACUGUCGGAAACGUUUGAACCAGCAAUUAUAGCUUUGGAGUACAACUCGAUCCAGUAUUUGAAAAUUAUGCUUGGUGAGCUCCUAAAUUAUAUAUGAUAUUAUGGCACCAAUUUUUCGAAGGUCAUGUUAGUUUAUUUAGUAAUUAAUUUAUAUUUAUGUAAAACCUCGAGAUUUAUUUGUAUAAGGGUAAAAUAUAAUUUUC